rnacentral:rRNA from 1 species
AGCGAACGCUGGCGGCAGGCUUAACACAUGCAAGUCGAGCGGGCGUAGCAAUACGUCAGCGGCAGACGGGUGAGUAACGCGUGGGAACGUACCUUUUGGUUCGGAACAACACAGGGAAACUUGUGCUAAUACCGGAUAAGCCCUUACGGGGAAAGAUUUAUCGCCGAAAGAUCGGCCCGCGUCUGAUUAGCUAGUUGGUGAGGUAACGGCUCACCAAGGCGACGAUCAGUAGCUGGUCUGAGAGGAUGAUCAGCCACAUUGGGACUGAGACACGGCCCAAACUCCUACGGGAGGCAGCAGUGGGGAAUAUUGGACAAUGGGCGCAAGCCUGAUCCAGCCAUGCCGCGUGAGUGAUGAAGGCCCUAGGGUUGUAAAGCUCUUUUGUGCGGGAAGAUAAUGACGGUACCGCAAGAAUAAGCCCCGGCUAACUUCGUGCCAGCAGCCGCGGUAAUACGAAGGGGGCUAGCGUUGCUCGGAAUCACUGGGCGUAAAGGGUGCGUAGGCGGGUCUUUAAGUCAGGGGUGAAAUCCUGGAGCUCAACUCCAGAACUGCCUUUGAUACUGAGGAUCUUGAGUUCGGGAGAGGUGAGUGGAACUGCGAGUGUAGAGGUGGAAUUCGUAGAUAUUCGCAAGAACACCAGUGGCGAAGGCGGCUCACUGGCCCGGAACUGACGCUGAGACGCGAAAGCGUGGGGAGCAAACAGGAUUAGAUACCCUGGUAGUCCACGCUGUAAACGAUGGAUGCUCCGUUGGGGAGCUUGCUCUUCAGUGGCGCAGCUAACGCUUUAAGCAUCCCGCCUGGGGAGUACGGUCGCAAGAUUAAA